GUCCGCACUUGGGUCAGGUCAGAUCUGCAUUUGGUGGCCCAUCCCCAUCCUCAUCCUCAUCCGCACGCCCCCGCCCAUGCUCGCCCCGGAUCUCCGCCGCCGUGUCUUAACCAUCCUCGCCCGUGAUCUCCACCGCUGUACGCACUUGGGUCAGGUUAGAUCUGCGUUUGGUGGCCCGUCCCCAUCCUCAUACUCUUCUGCGCGCCCACGCCCGCUUCUUCAUCCCCGCCCACUCCUGCGGUACGAUGUGGUGGUGUGCCUGGACAUACUACUUCAUCCCUGUCCACUUCAUCAAGAGGAGGCAACUGCACUUGGGUAGUACGAUGUGCUGGUGUCCCUGGAUUUUUAUUUGUGUGUGGUCGAGUUGUUCCCAGGCCCGUUCAAGGCCAUGCGUGCCUAUCUGUGUGCCGAGGGUAACAUGGAGAACACCGUCCGCCAGGCUGGCUGGCAAGUCGUCCCCGUAGCUUCAUCUCCAUUAAGGGGAUUGGGAACAAGAGGAGGCCACUGCACUUGGGACUUCGAAUAGAUAGUUAUGGAACCUGAGAGUCAUGGGGCUUCACCUUCUAUCCGUGUUUUUACUAAACACAGUUGGACAUACUUGGUGUAUGUUUUUUUUCUACUUAACAUCAUAUGUAUGAUCAACAAUUAGAGAAGGUAACAUUUCUGUUCAACACACUUCUGGAAUAAGAAUUUGUUAUUUUCUAGAAUUUUCAGUGACCUUUAUAUAUAUUCAGUAGCACAUUAGUUUUGCCAUAGCUGAAAUAAACACUGGUCAGAAUUCAACAUGAAUGUGCCUAAUUAUUUUUAACACAUUAAUUCUAAGGCGGUCACCAUACCAGGUAGAGUAAAUAAGCUAAGGAAAGAGGUGUGGUGCAUAGCAAUAACCUAAACAACACAAAUAAUAGUGAAUCAGAAGGCACUGAUGGAGAACAAGUAUAUGUAGUCACUGACGGAGAACAAGUAUAUGUGGAGAACACAUAGCUAAAUUUUGCCUUGGCACAUAGCACUUGUUAAGGAGAAUAUAGAACAAACAAAACAAUUAUCAAAAGGGACUAUUUUUUUCGUUUUCCCUUGCUCGGCCAGAUGUUUGAUGCAAAUACACGAUCUAUUUAAAUAUUUGAAAGAAGCAAUGGAGAUAAACCAAAUUAAUAUGAAACAAUUCAAGUAAAACUGACUACCAUGUAUUGUGUAGAACUCCUUCAACUGGUUUUAUAAGCAGAACACAAUGUUCAAACUCGCAGAAUGGACAUGCUAUUUUUGUCCAUCGAGGAAUCCGACAGUCAAACAUUGUGCAUUUAUCUCAAAAGGAAUUAUAAGACAAUGAUCUUGUCUUCCUUUGUUAGCACUAUACAAAUUAUGUUUUAAUUAAUAGUCAGCUGAAGUUUGAGCUUAAACUAUUUUGGUCUGUCCAUUUAGCUCAACCUUCUUUUGGCUAGGAAUAUACAAAUGUCUUGUAAGCCGGAUUCCUCGAUGGGUCGGUAUAUAGUCCCGUAAGGACUUCUGUGCUUACAUCUAUAGUUUUAGCAUGGUUUCUUGUAUUGUGUACACGAGACUGACCCAAAACUAUUGAUCGUUUUAUACUAUUUGGGAUUUCUUCGGAAAGGUUAUUUGAGAAAUCGUGUAUGCUUGUUUUGUAAAAUUAGAAGGAAAAGAGAACAACUACGAAGUGUAUGGGGUUGCUAUUUACUUUGCAUGAAAUUUAGACAGUGUUUGACUGCCCUGCAUGAUGAUGUUGCUAUUUACUUUACGUGCAUUUUGACUAACGAUUUGUUGCUAUGUUCCUGAGGAUCUAUGGAUAUCUGCUUUCCUGUUGGUACUAAGGAAGCCAACAGGAAAUUUUGGACUGCUACUUGGAUUAAUGCUCGAGAAAAAAGACAUGGUAUGCAGUCCCUAGGGACCGAGCCUCAGAGCUAGAGGAAGUUAUUCGUGUACAUGGAUAUGGAGGAAACCCUGACCGCCUUGCAUCGCUGGCAGUGCUUGGGGAGAAGACAACAUUGAUGUCUCCAGAUGUUCUUGUAGCCCGUGGUGUGCCCUGCUGUAGGUUAGUACAGUGUCCUGGAGAGUUUGUGGUGACAUUCCCAAGGGCAUACCACAUUGGGUUUAGUCAUGGAUGUAAGGAGGGCGUCCACAGGCUACGCCAUGCCUCCACCUCCGCAGAUCAUGCCUACCCUGCCCCGCCCGCGACAGCCUGCAAGCAUUAAUGAAGUUGUCUGUUUUGCAAUAACUUUGUGGAGCGGUUUGAUCAUCACUGUCCA